rnacentral:rRNA from 1 species
GACGAACGCUGGCGGCGUGCUUAACACAUGCAAGUCGAACGGAAAGGCCCUGCUUUUGUGGGGUGCUCGAGUGGCGAACGGGUGAGUAACACGUGAGUAACCUGCCCUUGACUUUGGGAUAACUUCAGGAAACUGGGGCUAAUACCGGAUAGGAGCUCCUGCUGCACGGUGGGGGUUGGAAAGUUUCGGCGGUUGGGGAUGGACUCGCGGCUUAUCAGCUUGUUGGUGGGGUAGUGGCUUACCAAGGCUUUGACGGGUAGCCGGCCUGAGAGGGUGACCGGCCACAUUGGGACUGAGAUACGGCCCAGACUCCUACGGGAGGCAGCAGUGGGGAAUAUUGCACAAUGGGCGGAAGCCUGAUGCAGCAACGCCGCGUGCGGGAUGACGGCCUUCGGGCUGUAAACCGCUUUCGCCUGUGACGAAGCGUGAGUGACGGUAAUGGGUAAAGAAGCACCGGCUAACUACGUG